rnacentral:lncRNA from 1 species
CUUAAGUAUGUUUUGUAGUUAAAUGAAACAUUAAAUGUUAUUCUCGAUAUCAAAUAUGAUGAAAAAUAGACGUUUCUUUACGUAGACACAUAAAUACGUUAAAGUCCCGCUGCAACGCGCGGGCAAUUUUCUAGUAUUCCACUAAAGCUCAGUAACUUCAAUCAUAAAGUAAUAUAGAUCACUAUGUACCUUCUUACAAAAGAGACUAAUUAGAACCUUAGAAUGGAAGUGCCACACGCGCCAAGACUAGUACUCAACGCCAAUCGUAUAUCCAAUAGAUUCCAUGUUUGCAACCAUAAAACCUAAACAUAAAAAAGAUAGAUGAAGCUUAACUAGCUUCUACAAACAUGCUUUUAAUCAGAAACGAAAUCUAUGGAUUAAAACCCUCACUAACAUGUACGUGUACAUCAAACCAAAUUGAAUACAAACAUAAACAUGAACAUGGAAUAAAUAAUGAAAGAUAAUGAAAAAAAUGUGAACGUGGAAUCCACACAGGGGCAGAAAGAUCUGGACACGUCCUAAAUGUGAAUCGCAAACAAUGAAAUAAUGAAUCAUGAAUCUCACUGUUAAUUAGGAAUUGGACAUUGUUGGUGGGAUUCCAAUAUAUGGGCACACCGGUGCAUGUGCACUAUGCAAAUCUAGGUUCUUUGAGGCAAUGAAUAAUUCUAUGGUUUCCAAAUUGAUGCAAGUAGUUAAUUGGUUUCCUUGCGUUGCUUUGGUUUGGUUUGGUUUCUGCCAAGUAAUAGCAGUAACAUGCAUGGUCUGAUUUGAUCUGAUGCCUAACAAGAAUCUCAUCCCAAUCAGAUUAUAUUGGGAUUCAGCCUCAGCUCUUGCAUAAGAUGGAUUCCAUCUUUGAGUUUCCUUGCGUUGCUUUGGUGUGGUUUCUGUUAAUAAGUGAUAGCAGUAACAUGCAUUGUCUGAUUUGAUCUGAUGUCUAACAAGAAUCUCAUUCCAAUCAGAUGUAUAUAUUGGGAUUCAGCCUCAGCUUUUGCAUAAGAUGGAUUCCAUCUUGAGUUUUGUUUUUCCUUUUCUUUUUGGUUAUCAUUCUAUUUGGAGCAGUGAGUGCUAGUAUUCAAUCUUAAUUUGUCUUUCAGCAACUUUCAUGAUGGCAUUGCAUGCUUAGGUGCCAAGGUACACAUUGACUCAUGACCAGCAUUGCUUGAUUAAUGCGUUUUUUUUUUUUAGAUCAAAUUGAUUAAUGCUUUUGAAUAAGAAACAUAACCAAGCACGCUAUAAAAGAGGCAAAUCUUGAAGAUUCAAGUUACCUAAUAAUGUCCUUUCAGAAAAAAGAAAAAAAAACAUUAUAAUGUCUAAUUUAAAGAAAACUAUUAGGUUCUAAGAAAAGUUACACUAAUUCUCAUAAAAUUAUCAAUUUUUUCAAGCAACAUACUGUAAAAUGAAUUGUUUAGACUCGAAACAAGUCAAAAUGAUCUUCAUUAUAUUUUGAGUACAAAAAUUAGGUUUCAUCACUAAGUAAACUUUUUUGAUCAUUUUAGAAUUUGUUGUUCUGGUGAUUCCUCUGUAAUUCUUUUGAUCUAAAAAAAACCACUAACCUACAACAUUAAAUAGAAUUUAGUGAGUUAAAAGAGGAAGCAACAAACUGUGAGGGGGGACAAGAAAAAAGAAGGAAAGCUUUACAAUUUUGUUUAAGGGGAGACACUUGGUUUUGAUAAAGUGUUAUUCUAUUGCAUAGAGGUUCACAUCGGACUGCAAACUAGCUUCUCUCACUUGUGUUGCUUUGUGCCGAAUGGAGGGUCCUUAGCUCCCUUUUCUCUCACCACCUUCUUGUCAGCUCUAACUAAACACCCUCUUCAAUUCAAGUUCUGGGCUUUCUGAUCUGCAUCGUCUUUCAGGUAAAUAUGUUUCCUUCUUUUCAUCUCAGGCAUCAUUUUCACCCGGAUUUGCUAAUGUUUUUCCGGUAAUCUUUCACUUUCAGAGACCCUGGUUUUGGUUUUUACUCAACGUUUUCAUCUUUCUUUGUCUUGCUGUGGUUUGGCUUUGAAGGGAAGGAAGUGCAGGUAAUAAACAGCUCUGAAUCUGUAUUCUUUAUCUUGCAAUAAGUAGUUUUGCUUUACUGUGUUUCUGGGCUUUUACUCUCAUAAAAUGCAUGAAUAUAAGGUUUGCACUUUUUGUUGUAUUUUCAUUUUAUCUUGGUUCUUUGUUAUUUCUUCUUGGAAAAGCAGCAAUAUCUGGUUUUAUUUUUGUUUUUGGGUAUGCUCUGAUAGUCUGAUUCGUGAAUAUUUGUUUCUGGGAUUCUGACUUUUGAUUGACUUUUGACUUUUGACUUUUGAUUGUGUUUCUGGGUAUUAAUUCUUUUGUGAAUUUGUGUACAUGCAUUUAGUAUUAAACUAGUAGUGGAUCACUUCCUUAGCAUUGGGUUUUCCUUGAAUAUUCCCUUCGAUAGUGAAGAGCUUAUAAAUUUGAAGCCCUGAAAUCUAUAUAACCAACCACCAAUUAUUAACUUUUUAAUUUUAUUGUUUGGCUUUUACCCCCUCAUAUGGCUCUGAAUCUGGAACUAUGGUGAUUCAUCUUGAUUAGCAGAUUACUCCUUGUCUUUCUUCAGUGCUCUUACCUGAUACAUAUUCUAUGCCGAAGUGAUAAUAUUACAUUCAUAUACAUCUCUUUAUUCAUUAGAUAUGUAACCCUUUUAACAGGAUGUAAAGAUUGGUAGAUUCUUAAGUUUCACGCAUUAUAAUUUUAUAAUUUAUCCACUGAAAUUUGUGAUGAGAGAAUAUGAUAAACUUUUCAUUGUGUGCUACUUUGGUAUUUUUGCUUGUAAAAUGGUUCUUAGACACAAAAUAGGAUUAUUUGUGUCUUAAGGAAUGUAGGCUUAAGUAAGGGGUUCUGCAAGUUUAAUCUUUCAGUCGCCUCUGCUGGAUUUGCUUUCUCAUUAAAUUAAGGGUGGGCAGCAGUCAUUGUUUGUAUUGUUUUUGCUUUUGUGUCCAUUGUAAGAGUGCAGGUUCUGUAACUUAUGUUUUAUUGUUGUUCUUCUGACGAGUUUUCAUUACUUGUAACAGCUUGUAGCAAAUCAAAUUGGAGGAAUUUUUUUUUUGUCUGAAUACUGAUGUCACAACCACAGGUCGGUGCUGGGGAGGAGGAAGGUAGCAGUGAUGUUACAGCAUUGUCUUCCUCACUUUCUAUGGAUAGUGUAUGUCCUAACAGCUCAGAUUUGAAGGAGCGAAAUUACAUGGGAUUAUCUGAUUGCUCUUCGGUAGACAGUUCAAAAGGCUCCGAUGUAGAUGGAAGUAAAAGUAGACUUAACCUGAUGGCUACGGAACUUAGGCUUGGGCUUCCUGGGUCCCAGUCUCCUGAGAGAAACUCGGAACUGAGGCUAAUCUCCACUCAACCUGAUGAGAAGCCCCUUUUCCCAUUACAUCCUGUAAAGGAUUCAUUGCAGAAAACAAUUGUUUCAGGCAACAAGAGAGGGUUCUCUGAUGCUAUGGAUGAGUUCUCAGAGGUGAAUGCUAUGUUUUUUGCAAACUUGGAAAGAAUUGGUUAUAUUUAUUUCAGCUUAAGAUUACAUCUAUUUUAACCUCCCUAUUUGUGAUGUAGGGCAAAUAUGCUAAUACAGAUGUAAACUUGUUGAUGUCACCCAGGCCUUCUCCAAACUUGGGAUUGAAAAGUGGUUCUGUACCUGAGAACCAUGGCACUCAGGAACCCAAAAUGAAGGAGAUAGUAUCACAAAAGAUAAUACAAGAGUGCCCUCAAACUGCCACAGAAACCGGGCCAAAUCAUACUAUUACUACCAGUGUACCUGCAAACAAGUAAGUGUUAGAAAAGUUUGGUGUGACAAUGAAAAUUUUGUUACUAAUAUUUUGCCUUAAAAAGAAAAUGGAGUCUUUAAAUUUCUUGUACAUCAGGGCGCAGGUUGUGGGUUGGCCACCUAUAAGAUCAUUUAGGAAGAACUCAUUGGCCUCUUUGUCAAAGAACGCGGAUGAAGUAGAUGGAAAACCAGGGCCUGGUGUUCUAUAUGUCAAAGUCAGCAUGGAUGGUGCUCCUUAUUUGAGGAAAGUAGAUUUGAAACAUUACUCAGCAUACCAGGAACUUUCUUCUGCUCUUGAGAAAAUGUUUAGCUGUUUUACUAUAGGUGAGCAGUUGCCAUUAUUCAAUUUUAUACAAUUUACCUAUGUAUGUGUAUUUUGCAUUUAAUUCAGUGUUUAACAUUUAAGUUUGGUACGUUUUGCAUGAAUGUUGCAUGGAUCCAGUUACUGCUGUGUUGGUAUGAUUUCAGGUCAAUACGUAUCUCAUGGAGCUCGGGGCAGAGAGAUUAGUGAAAGCAAGCUGAAGGACCUCCUUCAUGGAUCGGAAUAUGUCCUGACCUACGAGGAUAAAGAUGGUGACUGGAUGCUUGUGGGUGAUGUCCCUUGGGAGUAAGUCUUUCAAUCGUAUUUUGUUGAUUACAUGGUUGGCUUGCUAUUGAUGCCAAAGCUAAAUAACUGUCACCGUUCUACAAAACAAUUAGCUUUUUGCAUUGGCUGAAACUGUUGCAAAUAUGUAGCACGUGUAUAUACUGAACUGAAGUGUCUAUUAGAUACAAAUUGAAGGGAAUUAGAAAUUCUGGAAAUAGGUGAAGUUAGCUUAUGUGCACAUCAAGCCAGGAAAUGACCUUCGAGGUAUCAGAGAGUGCACUAAUGUUAAUUCUAUUAGAACUCUUGUAAUUAGGCCAUCAUUUAGGUAUUAAAUUUGGGUGCCGUUUAACUUAAAGCACAUGUGGAAUUUCGAUCCCACAAUCAUUGAGGCAAUAUGUGAAGUAAUCUGUAACAUGUAGACCAUAAAACUUGAUGUUACUAGUAUACUUACAGUCACAAAGAUAACUCUUGUUCAGCAAUGAGAGAAUAAAAAUAUAUCAUCAGCCAUUAACUUUAGCAUCAAGGUAUCCUCACCAGCAUUAAGGUAGAAAAGGGAAGCUUGAAUUAGGAAAAUUUAUUUUUGUUCCAGGGUUUCAUCUGUUUAGUUGAAAUGUUUCACAAUGAGAGCUAUGGGUUGUGUGUUCUGCUAGUUCCCUGCCAUUUGGGGAUAUCUUGCUAUGUCCGUGUCUAUUUUUAUUGGACUGCUGUUGUAAUUUACUGAGGUUUAUAUUCUAGUGUAAUGCAUAGUUUUUCGUUUCUUAAAAAUAAAAAAAAAAUAAAAAAUAAAAAAUAAAAAAAAAUAAUCUGAUUGGAAGUUUGGACUUUGGACAGGAUGUUUAUCAAUACCUGCAAAAGGAUGAGGAUAAUGAAAAGCUCAGAUGCCAUUGGCCUUGGUACGUUUAUUAUGGAUUUCAUUGAUUUUCUUUAAUUAUGAGCAUCUACAGAAGUGGCAGGGCUGGUAGCCUCUGCAACAAAUGGGAAAUUCAACUUUGGAGUCAGGUGAAAGCUUGAUAGAAGCUUGAAAGAGGCAGGAGAGUGAAGUCAGAGAGAGAAGUCUAGAUGAGGGAGUAAUUCACCAUUGGCAGUAUUAAAUAAAUUACAAUAAAGUCCCAUUUUUUGCUUUGCCAUCACCAUCCUUUGUCACUAGAGUGAGCUUCACUUGAGCUACACCUAAACCCUUAUCAGCUUGAUCAAAAUUUAGUAAACUGAGAUCCAGAUAAGGCAAGUGGAAAAAAUGGAGUCCACUUUCUGUGAGGACUCACAGGCGCACAGCCUGCAUUAGCUCAGCAUCAGUUCCAAGUAUUAGAAUAGCAUUUCCUUCACCCAGGAUUGGUUUUUUAUUUAUCAUGAUUGCAGUAAUAGAAUAGUAGAUCUGAUUAGUUGCUGCACUAGUGCACUGAUGUUUUUAUGGUAUACUAAAUGCUCAAUUCCUGAUUUAGAUGGUGUAUGACUGUAUGUAAUGGAUCUGUGUUGCAUUCAGUUUUUUGCAGAAUUUCUAGUUUUUUAUAUGGAGUUUAUUGUUCCACCCAUUGAAUGGUAAUUCUAUUAUAUGUAUUUAUGCGUGAGUGUGUCAGUAUGACAUUAGUUCCAGAAGAAAUUAUUGGAACUACUUUCCAUUUCCUGCAUCAUUUUAAUUGAUUCACCUCUAAGAUAAAAGUUUCAAAGGUUUAGAUUGUACUUGUUAUUCUGCUGUUGUUCUCUUGUUUUCUGUAUUACUUUUGUCAUGCAUUAUAACUCCACAAGCUUUGCUCAUGCUUCCUAUAAUAAGGGUCACAUAGGGCACUUACACAUUUGGCCGGAUAAUCUUAGAAGUAACUGUCGUUACUCUGUGGACAUUUUGCAUAUUUUUUUUUUUUCCAAAUCAUAAUAGGGUUACUCUAGUUUAAUAAAACAUUUAUGAGAUCUAGCAUUCCCUCUUGCUCUGAAUAAGCUGUUCAGGCUUUUGGCUAUAUAAUCAACCACCACCAUAGGACAGUAAAAUAAAAUUAGGUACAUAUUGUAGUGUUGUUAAAAUCUAAUUCUAGAAUAUGGGGUCUAUCCAGUCAUAAGGCCACCGGCCGGGUAAACCAUAUUCUGGCUUAUGCAUAAAACUAUGCAGACAGGUUUUGCAGUUUGCAAUGUUGAUUUUGAAUUUAGCAUAUGCAUGUUUCUUGUUGGCUAAAUCUAUUUGUAACCAAGGAGGAUCGGUACUUUGAUUUUAUAGACAUAUAUGUGUACUUAGGUAAUUUUUUUUAUAUGAUUUUAUUCAAUUUGGUUUGAUGUGCAGCUCCAAGAGCCAUGGAGAAGUGCAGGAACAGGAACUAGCCAGUAAUAUGCACUGUGAUCUUCCAUCCAGCUGUCUAUAAAAUUGGAAUGAAGGCAUGGCCUAAGACCAACAGAUGCAAUUUGGAGUGGAUGGGACAUCACCGGUGUGUGCUUCUACUAUGUUAUUACUACAUCUGUGAUUUCUGUUUGCCAUAUCAAGUUUCUGUUAACUACCUUUCUAACUCGUCAACACUAUUAAUACUACUGAAACACUUAAAAACUCUGUAUCCUGAAGUACCUAUUUACUUGUUCUAUGGGGGCAGGUUCCUGUAUCCGUACAGGAUCCUAAGACCUGAUGUUUGUAAAGUGCUAUUGUUUGUGAAACUUGUUAUUUAUGUGUGCAAGUUAUCCAUGUUAAAUUGUUAAUCCAGUUGAUUGUUCAUUUUUAUUCUUUUCACCUCAAUUUCUGAGUACUCAAGGGACCAAAUGACCAAUUGAAUUAAUUCAGAAUGCCCUUAACCUCUUGCAGAAGUUUCCAAAGCCAACGGCUAUUGCAUCCAGUUACCAAAAUAAUGCACCAUUGAUGUAACCGGGCCCCUUGUCCCAUUUCUUGUAUUAUCUUAGAUUUUCUUUGGUCAGUUGUGUUAUCUUGGACAAUAUUAUUGCUUUCAGACAUAAUCUUUGCUUCCUUGAAUUUCGCUUCAGCUGAGCAGAUCUUUUUCUUGUUAUCUUCUAAAACAGUGGGUGCGCUCUAUCUAUCUUAUGUAUGAAUUGGUUACCAAGUCCCUACUUCUAUCGCCAGUAUCUUGAUUCAUGAGCAAAAUGAUCGAUUUCUUAUAUAAUACUUUACCCAUCAAUAAUGCAGACACACAAGUUGGACUGAGAAGUAUAAUGAAUCCUACUCUAUUGUUGCUCGCACAUUUUCCUGAUACAUUAGAAUGACCCUUGAUCCUGUGGCAGAUUGUAAUGGAGUUGCGAGUUGGUACUUGAAUGAAGACAAUCGCUUGUUCUCAACAUUUCUCUUCUCUAAUCGAGUCUCGUGAGCAAUUCAUGCACCAUCUCCUUUUAGUCUUUUGCCGGAAAAAGGCAAAAUUGAAACAUGAAAAUAAAAAAUUCAUGGACUGACUUAACGGAUUUUCUGUUGCUCAUCUUAAACAAUCAAGACUGGGAGACUAGAGCAACAAAACAGAUGUUUGUUGAAAUAAUGUCUGAACCCAGAACUUACGUUUAAGAAGAAAAUUCGUAGAUUAAUCACUACUGCCUGAAGGAUGUGCAGAAAUACUCUGCAUCGGUAUAGGUGGAAAUGGUGAGUUGGGGACAAGUCGAAAUUAGAAUUCUAGAAUAUACUGUAAAUGCCUAACUGGAAGGGAAAUAUCGGUAGGUUUUUCUUUAUUUUUCUAUUUAGGCACAAUAAUCUGUUUAUUUGUGUCUUCAAUGCAUAAUGUCACAAAACUGAAUUGGUAAGUUACUGGUUCCAUUGGAAGAAACCAUAUCAUCAGAACAUCUGACAUUCAUUUGAUAUGUUCAUAUAGUGUCAACAGCAACACAUGAUUGUUCUUAUUCAUGCUGCAGGGAUCAAAUUUUAACCCAUUACCUGCUUCCAAUCUGAUCUAACUUGGCAAAUUUGCCCAUUCCUCCAAUUAAAUUACUAAUUGCCAAACAAAAAUGAAAAAAGAAAAACACCAGGUUCCUGCACCUUCAACAGCAGCAGUAGAACAGGAGAGAGCCUUAUAAUUGCAACAUGCAGAGUUUGCAGCAAGGGAGGAUGGCAAGGAUAGAUCGCCCAUUUCGUGUUGGCUGAGAAGUCAGCAUUAAGACAAGGAAAACUCUUUUCAUCAAACACUGUGUCUGCAAUCUGAUUCAAUGCACUUUGAUCUUUUACAUUAUGUAUUUCAAUUGUACAUAUAGCACACCCUUUUGUUUUUCUUAGCUCACCUCUUUCAUUCAAGCUAGUAUUCACUUGGUUCACUUAGUUGAGUCACCGACUCACCGGUAAGAUUCGCUAUUCCGGUUUGGAUGGGUACUGUUUCUUCAAAUGACAAUGUCUGCCAUCUGCAUUCCUUAGAAGCAAGGAUGUAUUGAGCACAUCAUGCCGAAUGAAUGUAGUGACAUGAGUCAUUGAGUCAGGCACCAAAUAGACGAUGACUAAGCCCUAUCAAAGUCGGCAACAAAAGAUACGAGCAGCUCUCUUCCCUCAUAAUGGUGCCAAAGCAAAUUCUUGUGCUACAAGACAAUUAAAAUGGAUAAGUUUCCAGCAGAAUUCAAACAUGUAUUAGAUCGAUCAUGACAAACAGGAAAAAAGAGGAGCAUAUAUACGUGCAUAAAAGCAAGACUACUUGAGCAUCACCACCUAUCUCAUGACCAGUCACCACACAAUUGAAGAGCCACCAACAUUCACCUCCGCAGCCACUAUAAACAUCCCUUGAUUUAUUUUUCUUUUAUUUUUGAGAAGAUAUUUUUCUAUGUACUACAUACAUGCAUGACAUCAAAACUUGAAAAAUUCAAAACAAUAUAUUUCAAACCCCAUAAUUCAACAAGCUAGUGAUAAUGAAAAAGACUUCCUCGAUCGAUCUCAACUCAUUAACAUAUUCAGGGGAGCUUGGAAAAUUUGUGGUCGAUCUGUUAGAAAGGUGGUAAUAAAGAAAAAAAACUUUACCAGUUUUCAACUCUCAUGUAUUACUAUAAGAAAAUUAAGAACUAACUAAAGUCGACUCAGAAUGCAUCUGAGAUUGGAUUCGAAGCAUGUGAAACUAGCACAAAGGGGUACGUAAUUAGCAUAAUAAGCAACUAUUCUUUGUCUUCCUGCAUGCUCCUUUCCUUCAUAUAUAAUAUCUCUGAUUUGAGGAAGUUGGAGUGGUUAGAAGCUUUAUAGAAAAUGUUAGUUGGAAUUCAAUUCAAAGAAGAGAGACUGAUAUAAUAUGAAAAUGAAAGUUUUAUGUCUCCUAAUUAAUUGUACUCGAACUUGUUCUUAAUUCCCACCAUAUCUGCUUUCUCAAUUGGUGCCUUGACUCUCAUCUCAUGCCUGAUUGUUGUCAUAUUAAUUUGAUGCAUAUAUAUCUGCAUGAUUAACAUAAUUCAUAAAUUAAUUAAUUUAGUUGUAUAAGAGUUCAAAAUAAACAGCCCUUUAUGUAUGUAAAGCACGUUAUUGCAUGAGUGGUACUGUAUCUAUAAUGAUUUGGAGGGUUCAAAUAUAUUUCAACUUGGUAGAAUAUUCUUUUGAAUUAGUAUGAUCAAACAUACACAAAGCGACCAUGUUCAGAUUUGGAUCCUAAUUGAAUCAAUUUGUUUAUGCAGAUCGGCCAAGCAAUUGCCAAUAUAGGGCUAAUUAGCUCUUAUUAGGUAAAUGUAUGUUUGUUUAUAAAUUACGGCAUCCUCAUUUGUAUCGCGGUUCUUCGGCUACAUUAUGCGUUGUUUAGAUUCAUCAAUUGUGGUCAUGUUUUGUGAUCUAAGUUGGUUUAACGGUUACAGUGUUUCUUUUAGCGAAUAUGACAAAAUGCGUCGAUAAUUCUCCCCACAUUCUAUUAAGAUGGUUAAUUUGGAAGAUAUAUAUAGAGAAGAAAUAAGGUUUUGUGAAUUUGGAAUCUUUGAUAUUCUAUUGUAUCCCAAAGACCCAAACAUACUUAACAGGGUUACAGCAUAAUCCUUAAAAUCAUGAACUGUAUACGGCACAUCAUGACCUAUUAAUCAAAAUAAGAUGAUCCCAGCCCUCAUCACAAUAACCUAUAUAUACAGCACUAGAGUUUGAAAGCGAAAUCUUUGUCAAUUGGUGUACACGAGGAAAUAUCUAAUUUUUGCCCUGUAUUGCAUUAAAAUAAACUGUUCAAAUUGUAAAUGAUGUAACACUCUUCAAUAUUCUCAUAUAUCCUUGAUACAAAGAUGGUUACAAUAUUAACAAUAAAUAAAGCCAACAUUCAGCAUAUUACUUGCACCAAACUUGAGUGUACGUUGCUAUCAAAAUUAACCAUCGACAAAGAUCAUGUACUGUAAAUUUAUGAUGCCUAAGAACUGGACUAAUAAGAAUUUCUUAUUACUUCAAAAGAAAUCCGGUAUACUAGCUAACUCCCUCACUUUUACAUUUCAUAUCUACUAAGAACAGAGAACUCAUUGCUUCUGGUAGUUGUACAAUGACUUGUAUUAUGAGGUACCCACUCCUUAGUUUGACGGUGUGAUCGUCGUUUGAAAUAGUAUCAGAACUAGACUCAUUUCCCUAAAAAAAAAAAAAAAAAAAACUACAUUACAUGGAGAUUUGAUGUGGAUUCAUGCAUUCAAAUUGUCAUUAGAUCAACGCGACGUGGGCUCAUAUUUUGGAGGAAUUGGAGCCAAAUGCGGUUUAAACCUCAUUCAUCAUAUUUCAAGAGUAUAACGAUCACAAAUCACUUAUCACCAUCACUCUUAUACGCCUAGAAAGGCUUGCCAAAAACACUUCACCUUCGACAAAGAAAAUAUCAUCUACUAGUUAUCACCCCAUCCCUCUAAAUCAUAGUGAUGGACAUGUAGUUAUAAUUUGUCUACUUAGGAGUUCAGAAUAUGCAUGCAAGGUUAAUUUGUUCAUGGUUGUGCUUAGGGGAUCCUAUAUAUUCUUGCAGCAAUCACUUGAUGAAACAUGUGCCUCCAAAUAAUUAAAUGGUAACAUAUAUAUAUAUAUAUAUAGUCCUCUUCCAGAGAGGGAUCCCUCUUUGAAAUUAAAGUGCGGGACUCCUUAUUUCGCUCACUUUCAGGUCGUAUUUUCACAUCUCAACCGUACAAUGUCUAAAACACAGUGUGUAGAUCAUUCCUACAAAGUUUCAUCAAAUUUGAAGAUCAUUUGAGCUUUCGUAAUUGUAAUUUACACGAACGGUUCUGUUUGGACAACUUUUGUUCUGUUGAUUUAUUUNNNNNNNNNNNNNNNNNNNNNNNNNNNNNNNNNNNNNNNNNNNNNNNNNNNNNNNNNNNNNNNNNNNNNNNNNNNNNNNNNNNNNNNNNNNNNNNNNNNNNNNNNNNNNNNNNNNNNNNNNNNNNNNNNNNNNNNNNNNNNNNNNNNNNNNNNNNNNNNNNNNNNNNNNNNNNNNNNNNNNNNNNNNNNNNNNNNNNNNNNNNNNNNNNNNAUAUAUAUAUAUAUAUAUAUAUAUAUAUGAUCCCAACAGCAAAGCCUAAUUGUUUGAUCAUGCAUGCUAUUAAUAAUUUUUGAGUUUAAGGGCUAUAGAAUUUCAAGUCUUCCUCUUAAUUAGUUGCUCUCUAAAACUUAAUUUUCACUUAGAUGGAAUGGAUGCCCUUCUUAAUUAAUUCUGUCACCCAUGUGCCUUAGGUAGCUAGCCAUACCAACCAAUUACAAUCAGUUUUAACUAACUAUUCAUGCCACUACCAACUGCUCAUCUCUAUUAUUAUAGUACCCCUUUCAAUUGCAUCCUCAGUCUCCUCAUCUAAUUAUUAUUAUUAUUAUUAUUGCUUGUGGCAUUGAAUUCAUUUGUUUAGUAGAGCCACAGACCGAAGCCUCACACUUUUGGCUUAGGUAACUUAAAAUUAAAUUCAAUCAAGCCCUUAGUAGUGCUACUAAUAAUUAGUCUGAUACAGUGUAGUAUCUAGCAUGUACAUGUGUGUAGCCUAUAGCUUCAUUUUUUAAAAUCAUCUGUUCUUAUGUUUUGAGAAGAUGCUUAGCAUUCUACUAAAUUAGAGUCUUUCUUCAAUUCUAGGCUUUCUAGCUUAGAGUCUCUCAUAGAACAGCUAUAGCUAUUUUAGUUCUGAUGGCCACGAGAUGAUAUAAAUUUACAAAAGUGAGACACUAUAUUAUAAGAGAAUUUGGAGGUUUAUUUCUAAUUCAAAGGAGAAAAGUAAAAAUCACAUAACAAAACAAUUGAAUGGCCACGCAUCAUCAUCCCUACUCCCUAAUACAUAAUGCAAUCUAUGCAUUUUCACUAACUUGAUGGCUUAAAGUGUUUUUGGAUCCCAUUUACUUUGAUUUUUGUAAAAUGUUUAAUUAAAUUAAGCAACAAAUUAACCAUCUCAAACGUGAGGAUCCGAUCAUGGCAUGCGCAACAGCGCAAGUAUCACUCAACCCCGAUUUUGUUGCUUGUGUCAUUCGUUUCAUGCAUGUUUAUCGAUCACAAUCAUAGAUUAAGUUCAAUGCAUGGACUGCUAAUUCAAAAGGUUUAGUUGAAUCCGAUACGUGAUGGAAUGGGAUCUUCUUUUAAUUAACUAGUUAAUUGUUUGCAGGCAACAAAUCUUCAACUUGGAGUUUGCAAAGUGAUGGGAUCUUUUCCAUAUGGGGUGUCCGGUUAUGUCAUGUGCUAUGUGGACAUUCCCUAAACUCCAAAUUGAUCCACCCUCACAAUAUAGAUUGUAUACAUACUAUGCCAAAAGAAACUCUUCUGGCCACCCCUAGGCCGGUAACCACCGUCGGCAUGUCGUCCAUGCCGACGUCCAUGCGCGGAUCAGACUCAUCAUUGCCGUUGUCCUUGCCGCUACACGUUCCACAAUCGACAAUGUCCUUUCUCCAAACGCCGCCAACGAUCUCGAAGUACCAACCCGCGAUUGCCUCCUUACAAUAACCACGACCGUCGAGAGCCUCUAGCUACAAGGUCCGACAAAGGUCCUAGCUAGGCCUCUGACGCCGCCCUCUGAACUCAUCACCUCAACCCUAAGUCGACAUCUUAGAAACGCUCUUUUACAAAUGGAUACUUUCUUGAUUUUUCAAAACAUUUGAUCCUAAUUAACAAGGGAUACUAAAAAUAAUAGACUGCUAGUUAUAAAAUCUACCUCAUAUUUUGGAAGUUAAGGUUGUCAUAGCCAAUAUGAAUUCAACUUGUAUGUAUAUGAUUUUUAUAGCUCGUCGCAGCAGUUCUCCUGCCUAUCAAGCUUCAUUAUACCAAAACGACGGGCUUUUAUUAUUAGUGAAAUUAGAACUAGGCAGACUUGAUUAUAUUACCGCAAGUUCGCAACAACAAAAACACACACCAGCGAACCCCAACCUUCAUCCAAAUCACCCCCGUCCGGUGAUGGCUCUUGGCUGGUUUUGCGCCGAUAAGAUUAUCAUCGGACGGGAGUUAUAAAACCUUUUAUCUAAAGAGUUUUUGGCCUAAAAGCGUAAGACAGAUUUUAAUCGACGUGGUUUUUUCGGAUUGUGUUUGAAGACAAGGCACUCAUGGUCAUUGUGUUUGGGUGUCGAUGGUGGAACGAUGUCUCCGUCAUUUCUUGUCCAGUUGGCGAUGAUGGUGAGGGUGUUGGUGGUAGUGGGCAUCAGUCUCAAAUUGGCAGCGGUGUUGUGGUCUUGAGGUUGUGGCAACGGUGGGUGUUUUGUCUUCUUGAUGGUGUAUGGUCGGCAGCGAGGCACGCCGGCAUGAGCACGGUAUGUGUGUGGCCAUGGCGGCUGGUGCAUUCACCUUGUCUACAACAAUGAUGGAAGUUGAGCUAGGUUAACUGCUAUUAGGCCUACGGUUAAUUCCUUUUCAGCCUAGGGUUAUUUUUCAAUUUUUAUGUUUCUUAGUAUAUUUAUAUAAUUCUAGAUACAUUUCUGUGUAUUAAGAUUUUAAGCAUUUGUCGUGCCUCAUACGUCUUGUGGCGUGUGAGUCUAUUUUCUAAAGUAGUGUAAGUUUCUCUAGCGAUAGGUCUAUUGUAUAUGUAUCACUAUGGGUACUACCACUAACUCCUUGUAAUGUAAAUUUAGCUAGCGAUAGGUCUAUUGUAUAUGUACCACUGUGGGUACUACCACUAACUCCUUGUUUGUCUAUGCCCUUAAAUGGCAGCGGUAAGUUAUGUAACAAUCUAUCUUACGUGUAAUAAGUAUAUUUUUUCGCCUGAUUGGAUAUUGUAUUGAUUAAAAAAAAAACACACACACACACCAAGGAACUAGGUUUUGUUCAUGAUUACAAGUGUGUUUUUUUUUCAUACUUACAAGUUUAAAACAACAAAUUCUCAAUUAUUAUGAUUGAUAUUAGAAAAUAAGAACAUCAACGUUACAACUUUGUUGAUUGGUUACGUUGGAGGUUUUAAUCACUAGGUCCUCCAACCCUCUUGUUUGUAUGAGAACAAAGAAAAUCACAUAGAAAAGGAUAACACACAUAAACCUUUUUUGAGAAAACAGAUUUAACGAAAAGGAAUCGAAAUUGGUUUUGGAAGUUUCUCUCUAGACGAACAAAACCAUCAUUUCACAAAUUCUCUUUUCUUCAAUCUGUGUGGUCAACAGCUUUGACUGCAACGAACAUGAUUAUAUUCUGCCACGUAGACGUAGGGCAACACGUAUUGAUGGUGAUGAUGACAUGGACAUCCCAUGUGGGAUGCUAAUGCCAUGUGGAUAGACGAUUAUGGUCCACGCGGGAAACUAAGACGAUAGCACUAGAGAAUCAGUGACGUGCACACUGCACCAUACACCAUAUACCUAUUGUUUUAUAUUUGGAAAAUACGAAUUGAAUCUAGGACUUGUUAACGGUUUUGAAAACGAUUUUUAAAAAUUAUUUAAAAAAAAAAAGAUCGUAAUUUUAAAAUUUUUGAAAGUUAUUUUUCGUUGAAAUUUUUUUAAAUUUAAAAGUAAUAAAUCAUUCAUAUAUCCAAAGCAAGAAUAAUAAGGUUACAAUGAUCACAAUAGUGUCAUUAUAUUAGACAUUUAGCUCACUUAUUGUAAGCUUACGAGAGGAUAAAACUAGUUACAUACAAGAUACUAGAGAAACAUAAAACUAGAGUCAAUGCGUUCAAUUGCGGCACUCUAAGUUCCAUUAGAUCAUCUUGUUGCAUCUAGCUCGCACAGUCUGCCAAGCUAUCCGUGCACUAACACUUACUCAAUUUUGUCUUUACCCUUUGGAUUAAGGCUUUGAAGAGUGUUAGGGCAAGACCCAAUGACCCAAGCCCACACCCAAACCCUAGGAUCUUGGUGUUGCCUCUUUCCAGCAGCCAUCUGUUCCGGCAAAGGCACCAUUAUCCCACCAGCGCCGCCAUAGUUCACAACCUCAUCAUCGCCAUAAAUGACAAGCAUAUCCCCGCCAUAGUUCACGAUUUCCAUGCUGCUAUCAAGCAUCAUGCUAGCUGCAAAUAACAUUGGAGCAUAAGAAGAAAUCUUCUCUCGACUCCACUAGGAUUUUGGGAAUUCAAACACUCCCCUUUGUCCUAUUCAUUUGAAUUUUGCUGGCAUCAUCCUCCAAUGAGCAAGAGGAUGGAUAGAGCCCGAGGUGACUCGGCUUGGCAUCGGCUUUGAGUGGCAUAGAAUCAGCGUAAAAAGCCCUGUUACCGGCGACAAGUGCCUUGGAAUUGAUGACGAACGCCUUAGAAUUGGCGACAAGCGCCUUAGAAUUGACGAUAAGCGCCUUGGUGUCGGCGUCGAACGCCAUAGUUGGGUGACCCCGUUAGGGUUUAGGAGAGAAUUGGAGAGUUGGGUGAUAGAGAGGGAGGCGCAGAGCCAUCUCUCCCGUUUUGUUAAAAGUUAGGUAUCCCUUCUCGCAAGUCCUAUUUUUUGUUGAAAUGAGAGUGGUAGUAGUUGGGAUUUAGUUAGGUUAAAGGUGAAACAAUCAUUUUCAUUAAAAUCAUUGGAAUGGGCUUCCUAAAUUUUUUUUUCAUUGGAAUAAGAUUACUUUUAUUGUUUUUGACUAAAUGGGCAUUUUCCCUUUUGUAAACUAGGAAAAUGAAAAAAUGAAAACGUCAAAUUGAUGUUUUCAGUUUUUUUGUAGCAGUUGAAUAUAUUUUCAUUUUUCAUGUUCCACGUAUGCAGAAAUGUCUCAUCGAACGCAUUUUCAUUUUCAAAAAUGUAAAUAGAAGCAUGAAAAUGUUACUAAACGUCACCUUAGAGUUUAGUAGUUUAUGCUACUAAUUUAACUUGAGAAAAUAAAAUAUCAUAAAAUUAUAAAAAGCAAGCAUAGGACUAUUGAGGCAAGUUUCGCUUUCGAAGUAGCCACAAUAUCCGACCAAAGUGAAGUUGGCUUGUUUGAUAGUGUGGUGGGACGUGUUGUCUUUGAAGUUUGAACAGCUA